AUUGAACGCUGGCGGCAUGCCUUACACAUGCAAGUCGAACGGUAACAGGUCUUCGGAUGCUGACGAGUGGCGAACGGGUGAGUAAUACAUCGGAACGUGCCCGAUCGUGGGGGAUAACGGAGCGAAAGCUUUGCUAAUACCGCAUACGAUCUACGGAUGAAAGCAGGGGACCGCAAGGCCUUGCGCGGACGGAGCGGCCGAUGGCAGAUUAGGUAGUUGGUGGGAUAAAAGCUUACCAAGCCGACGAUCUGUAGCUGGUCUGAGAGGACGACCAGCCACACUGGAACUGAGACACGGUCCAGACUCCUACGGGAGGCAGCAGUGGGGAAUUUUGGACAAUGGGCGCAAGCCUGAUCCAGCAAUGCCGCGUGCAGGAUGAAGGCCUUCGGGUUGUAAACUGCUUUUGUACGGAACGAAACGGCCCUUUCUAAUACAGGGGGCUAAUGACGGUACCGUAAGAAUAAGCACCGGCUAACUCUGUGCCAGCAGCCGCCGUAACAC
rnacentral:rRNA from 1 species